AUUGAACGCUGGCGGCAGGCCUAACACAUGCAAGUCGAAUGGUAACAGGAAACAGCUUGCUGUUUCGCUGACGAGCGGCGGACGGGUGAGUAAUGCCUGGGAAACUGCCUGAUGGAGGGGGAUAACUACUGGAAACGGUAGCUAAUACCGCAUAACGUCGCAAGACCAAAGAGGGGGACCUUCGGGCCUCUUGCCAUCAGAUGUGCCCAGAUGGGAUUAGCUAGUAGGUGGGGUAACGGCUCACCUAGGCGACGAUCCCUAGCUGGUCUGAGAGGAUGACCAGCCACACUGGAACUGAGACACGGUCCAGACUCCUACGGGAGGCAGCAGUGGGGAAUAUUGCACAAUGGGCGCAAGCCUGAUGCAGCCAUGCCGCGUGUAUGAAGAAGGCCUUCGGGUUGUAAAGUACUUUCAGCGGGGAGGAAGGGAGUAAAGUUAAUACCUUUGCUCAUUGACGUUACCCGCAGAAGAAGCACCGGCUAACUCCGUG
rnacentral:rRNA from 1 species